rnacentral:rRNA from 1 species
UAGUCCACGCUGUAAACGAUGAUCACUCGUUGUUUGCGAUAUAUUGUAAGCGACUGAGCGAAAGCAUUAAGUGAUCCACCUGGGGAGUACGUUGGCAACAAUGAAACUCAAAGGAAUUGACGGGGGCCCGCACAAGCGGAGGAACAUGUGGUUUAAUUCGAUGAUACGCGAGGAACCUUACCUGGGCUUAAAUGUAGGUUGCAUGAUCGGGAAACUGAUCUUUCCUUCGGGACUACUUACAAGGUGCUGCAUGGUUGUCGUCAGCUCGUGCCGUGAGGUGUCGGGUUAAGUCCCAUAACGAGCGCAACCCCUAUUGUUAGUUGCUAGCAGGUAAUGCUGAGGACUCUAACAAGACUGCCGGUGUAAACCGAGAGGAAGGUGGGGAUGACGUCAAAUCAGCACGGCCCUUAUGUCCAGGGCUACACACGUGUUACAAUGGUCGAUACAAGAGCAGCCACUUGGCGACAAGGCGCUAAUCUCUAAAGUCGAUCAC